rnacentral:tRNA from 1 species
GUAGGUAUAGUUCAACUAGAACGUUAGAUUGUGAUUCUAAAAAUAGAGGUUAAACCCCUCUUAUCCACC